rnacentral:rRNA from 1 species
GACGAACGCUGGCGGCGUGCUUAACACAUGCAAGUCGAACGGAAAGGCCCUGCUUUUGUGGGGUGCUCGAGUGGCGAACGGGUGAGUAACACGUGAGUAACCUGCCCUUGACUUUGGGAUAACUUCAGGAAACUGGGGCUAAUACCGGAUAGGAGCUCCUGCUGCAUGGUGGGGGUUGGAAAGUUUCGGCGGUUGGGGAUGGACUCGCGGCUUAUCAGCUUGUUGGUGGGGUAGUGGCUUACCAAGGCUUUGACGGGUAGCCGGCCUGAGGGGGUGACCGGCCACAUUGGGAAUGAGAUACGGCCCAGAGUCAUACGGGAGGCAGCAGUGGGGGAUAUUGCACAAUGGGCGGAAGCCUGAUGCCGCAACGGCGCGUGCGGGAUGACGGCCUUCGGGUUGUAAACCGCUUUCGCCUGUGACGAAGCGGGAGUGACGGUAAUGGGUAAAGAAGCACCGGCUAACUACGUG